UACGUAGGUGGCAAGCGUUGUCCGGAUUUACUGGGCGUAAAGAGCGCGCAGGCGGCUCGGUAAGUCUGCUGUGAAAUCUCCCGGCUCAACCGGGCGAGGCCAGUGGAAACUAUCGAGCUGGAGGGCAGUAGAGGCAGGCGGAAUUCCGGGUGGAGUGGUGAAAUGCGUAGAGAUCCGGAGGAACACCAGAGGCGAAGGCGGCCUGCUGGGCUGCACCUGACGCUGAGCCGCGAAAGCCAGGGGAGCGAACGGG
rnacentral:rRNA from 1 species